rnacentral:rRNA from 1 species
GACGAACGCUGGCGGCGUGCUUAACACAUGCAAGUCGAACGAUGAAGAAAAGAAUUGAAGCUUCGGCAGAAAUUCAUUUCGGAUUAGUGGCAGACGGGUGAGUAACGCGUGAGCAACCUACCUCUUACAAAGGGAUAGCCUCGGGAAACCGGGAGUAAUACCAUAUAACAUUGCGACGAAGCAUUUCGAUGCAAUCAAAGCUACGGCGGUAAGAGAUGGGCUCGCGUCCCAUUAACCAGAUGGUGAGGUAACGGCUCACCAUAGUAACGAUGGGUAACCGGCCUGAGAGGGUGAACGGUCACACUGGAACUGAGACACGGUCCAGACUCCUACGGGAGGCAGCAGUGGGGAAUAUUGCACAAUGGAGGGAACUCUGAUGCAGCGACGCCGCGUGAGUGAUGAAGGAAUUCGUUUCGUAAAACUCUGUUCUAUGGGAAGAAAAGGACUGUACCAUAGGAGAAAGCUCCGGCUAAAUACGUG